rnacentral:rRNA from 1 species
GGGCCCGCACAAGCGGUGGAGCAUGUGGUUUAAUUCGAUGCAACGCGAAGAACCUUACCAGGACUUGACAUACUACAAAUUCUUUUGAGAAAAAGAAGUGCCUUCGGGAAUGUAGAUACAGGUGGUGCAUGGCUGUCGUCAGCUCGUGUCGUGAGAUGUUGGGUUAAGUCCCAUAACGAGCGCAACCCCCAUUUCUAGUUGCCAGCGGUUCGGCCGGGGACUCUAGAGAAACUGCCAGCGUAAGCUGUGAGGAAGGUGGGGAUGACGUCAAGUCCUCAUGGCCCUUAUGGUUGGGGCUACACACGUACUACAAUGGUAACUACAGAGGGCAGCAAGACCGCGAGGUGGAGCCAAUCCCAAAAAAGUUGCCUCAGUUCGGAUUGGAGUCUGCAACUCGAGUGCAUG